UACGGAGGGUGCAAGCGUUGUCCGGAAUCACUGGGCGUAAAGGGCGCGUAGGCGGCUCAUGAAGGCUGUGGUGAAAGUCCGGGGCUCAACCUCGGAUCGGCCGUGGCGACUCGUGGGCUGGAGCACUGUAGAGGGGGGUGGAAUUCCGGGUGUAGCGGUGGAAUGCGUAGAGAUCCGGAAGAACACCAGUGGCGAAGGCGGCCCGCUGGGCAGUGGCUGACGCUGAGGCGCGACAGCGUGGGGAGCAAACAGG
rnacentral:rRNA from 1 species